rnacentral:rRNA from 1 species
GGUUAAGCGACUAAGCGUACACGGUGGAUGCCCUGGCAGUCAGAGGCGAUGAAGGACGUGCUAAUCUGCGAUAAGCGUCGGUAAGGUGAUAUGAACCGUUAUAACCGGCGAUUUCCGAAUGGGGAAACCCAGUGUGUUUCGACAUACUAUCAUUAACUGAAUCCAUAGGUUAAUGAGGCGAACCGGGGGAACUGAAACAUCUAAGUACCCCGAGGAAAAGAAAUCAACCGAGAUUCCCCCAGUAGCGGCGAGCGAACGGGGAGGAGCCCAGAGCCUGAAUCAGUGUGUGUGUUAGUGGAAGCGUCUGGAAAGGCGCGCGAUACAGGGUGACAGCCCCGUACACAAAAAUGCACAUGCUGUGAGCUCGAUGAGUAGGGCGGGACACGUGGUAUCCUGUCUGAAUAUGGGGGGACCAUCCUCCAAGGCUAAAUACUCCUGACUGACCGAUAGUGAACCAGUACCGUGAGGGAAAGGCGAAAAGAACCCCGGCGAGGGGAGUGAAAAAGAACCUGAAACCGUGUACGUACAAGCAGUGGGAGCCUCUUUAUGGGGUGACUGCGUACCUUUUGUAUAAUGGGUCAGCGACUUAUAUUCUGUAGCAAGGUUAACCGAAUAGGGGAGCCGAAGGGAAACCGAGUCUUAACUGGGCGUUAAGUUGCAGGGUAUAGACCCGAAACCCGGUGAUCUAGCCAUGGGCAGGUUGAAGGUUGGGUAACACUAACUGGAGGACCGAACCGACUAAUGUUGAAAAAUUAGCGGAUGACUUGUGGCUGGGGGUGAAAGGCCAAUCAAACCGGGAGAUAGCUGGUUCUCCCCGAAAGCUAUUUAGGUAGCGCCUCGUGAAUUCAUCUCCGGGGGUAGAGCACUGUUUCGGCAAGGGGGUCAUCCCGACUUACCAACCCGAUGCAAACUGCGAAUACCGGAGAAUGUUAUCACGGGAGACACACGGCGGGUGCUAACGUCCGUCGUGAAGAGGGAAACAACCCAGACCGCCAGCUAAGGUCCCAAAGUCAUGGUUAAGUGGGAAACGAUGUGGGAAGGCCCAGACAGCCAGGAUGUUGGCUUAGAAGCAGCCAUCAUUUAAAGAAAGCGUAAUAGCUCACUGGUCGAGUCGGCCUGCGCGGAAGAUGUAACGGGGCUAAACCAUGCACCGAAGCUGCGGCAGCGACACUAUGUGUUGUUGGGUAGGGGAGCGUUCUGUAAGCCUGCGAAGGUGUACUGUGAGGUAUGCUGGAGGUAUCAGAAGUGCGAAUGCUGACAUAAGUAACGAUAAAGCGGGUGAAAAGCCCGCUCGCCGGAAGACCAAGGGUUCCUGUCCAACGUUAAUCGGGGCAGGGUGAGUCGACCCCUAAGGCGAGGCCGAAAGGCGUAGUCGAUGGGAAACAGGUUAAUAUUCCUGUACUUGGUGUUACUGCGAAGGGGGGACGGAGAAGGCUAUGUUGGCCGGGCGACGGUUGUCCCGGUUUAAGCGUGUAGGCUGGUUUUCCAGGCAAAUCCGGAAAAUCAAGGCUGAGGCGUGAUGACGAGGCACUACGGUGCUGAAGCAACAAAUGCCCUGCUUCCAGGAAAAGCCUCUAAGCAUCAGGUAACAUCAAAUCGUACCCCAAACCGACACAGGUGGUCAGGUAGAGAAUACCAAGGCGCUUGAGAGAACUCGGGUGAAGGAACUAGGCAAAAUGGUGCCGUAACUUCGGGAGAAGGCACGCUGAUACGUAGGUGAAGUCCCUUGCGGAUGGAGCUGAAAUCAGUCGAAGAUACCAGCUGGCUGCAACUGUUUAUUAAAAACACAGCACUGUGCAAACACGAAAGUGGACGUAUACGGUGUGACGCCUGCCCGGUGCCGGAAGGUUAAUUGAUGGGGUUAGCGGUAACGCGAAGCUCUUGAUCGAAGCCCCGGUAAACGGCGGCCGUAACUAUAACGGUCCUAAGGUAGCGAAAUUCCUUGUCGGGUAAGUUCCGACCUGCACGAAUGGCGUAAUGAUGGCCAGGCUGUCUCCACCCGAGACUCAGUGAAAUUGAACUCGCUGUGAAGAUGCAGUGUACCCGCGGCAAGACGGAAAGACCCCGUGAACCUUUACUAUAGCUUGACACUGAACAUUGAGCCUUGAUGUGUAGGAUAGGUGGGAGGCUUUGAAGUGUGGACGCCAGUCUGCAUGGAGCCGACCUUGAAAUACCACCCUUUAAUGUUUGAUGUUCUAACGUUGGCCCCUGAUCGGGGUUGCGGACAGUGUCUGGUGGGUAGUUUGACUGGGGCGGUCUCCUCCUAAAGAGUAACGGAGGAGCACGAAGGUUGGCUAAUCCUGGUCGGACAUCAGGAGGUUAGUGCAAUGGCAUAAGCCAGCUUGACUGCGAGCGUGACGGCGCGAGCAGGUGCGAAAGCAGGUCAUAGUGAUCCGGUGGUUCUGAAUGGAAGGGCCAUCGCUCAACGGAUAAAAGGUACUCCGGGGAUAACAGGCUGAUACCGCCCAAGAGUUCAUAUCGACGGCGGUGUUUGGCACCUCGAUGUCGGCUCAUCACAUCCUGGGGCUGAAGUAGGUCCCAAGGGUAUGGCUGUUCGCCAUUUAAAGUGGUACGCGAGCUGGGUUUAGAACGUCGUGAGACAGUUCGGUCCCUAUCUGCCGUGGGCGCUGGAGAACUGAGGGGGGCUGCUCCUAGUACGAGAGGACCGGAGUGGACGCAUCACUGGUGUUCGGGUUGUCAUGCCAAUGGCACUGCCCGGUAGCUAAAUGCGGAAGAGAUAAGUGCUGAAAGCAUCUAAGCACGAAACUUGCCCCGAGAUGAGUUCUCCCUGACUCCUUGAGAGUCCUGAAGGAACGUUGAAGACGACGACGUUGAUAGGCCGGGUGUGUAAGCGCAGCGAUGCGUUGAGCUAACCGGUACUAAUGAACCGUGAGGCUUAACCUU